UUGAGGAAAUCUACACCUUUACCCAUGGACAUCUUCCUGUGUGAAACGCCCUCCCGUUUCCUUCCUCAUUUCUCCAGACCCGAGUUACACUUGAUUUCCUCUUGGAGGCCUCUACUGAUAACUUCGGUCUUUCUCAGGUCUAGAUAAAAAGUCUGUCUGGGUUACUAACUGGGCCAAUAUGACUAUAAUUAUCUUCUGUUGAUGCCUCUUAUGAAACAGAGACAGGGUUUCACUCUGUCACCCAGGCUGGUCUCCACCUCCUGGCUUCAAGCGUGAUUCUCCCGCCUUGACUUACCUGAGUGCUGAGAUUACAGGGUCUUCUGCCAUGUGAGGACACAGAGUUCAUCCCUUUCUUGUCCUUCCACCUGCCACCAUGUGAAGACACAGAAACAAGGCACUUCUUGGAAGCAGGGAGAAGCCCUGACCAGCACCAAUGUCAGCACCUUAAUCUUGGACUUCUUGGCCUUCA